UCUUGUUUCGGUCUGGUCCUUCGCGGCAGCCCACUGAGCAGAAUGCAGCUCUACAAUGAAGGCGCAAGAGCUGGGAACAACUUUGAGUCUCUGACUCCUCAGGCUGGCAAAGGGAGGGAGUACUGCUGAGGUUUUACUCUCAGGCUCCAAGGGAAAAAGAUACUGAAUGUGGAGAAAUGCAACACCCCCCUAUUGGACAAGCAAAACCAUAUGCCACAAUAUCUCCAUAGAAGAUGUAUGAACUCUCAAUCACUUCUAGAGUCUGCCGAAUUUCUCAGCUUGCAGCCCCUUUUGGUGUUUAAAGCCAGCAAUGUGUGAGGAUACAAAAAGCUGGCAGUCUGCAACACUUAAGAGGACUCUCACUAGAACCCAAUCAUGCUGGUACCUGAUCUCAGAGUUCCAGCCUCCAGAACUGUAAGAAAUAAAUUUCCAUUAUUCAAACUACCUAGUCUAUGGUAGUUUGUUCCAAAGCUUGAACAGACUAAGACAGCGUGUUAAACCACAAUCAGAAAUGCCUCAACUUUAGAAAGAGAAAAUAUUCAAAUACAAACGGAAACGUCUUAUUAAAUGAACAUUAAUUUGAUUUGCAAGUAUAUAAAGAGAUAGUGCCAUUAUUAACCACAAUAUAAUUCUAAAUAAGAGGAA